rnacentral:rRNA from 1 species
UACGGGGGGGGCAAGCGUUGUUCGGAAUUACUGGGCGUAAAGGGCUCGUAGGUGGCCAACUAAGUCAGACGUGAAAUCCCCAGGUUCAACUUGGGAACUGCGUCUGAUACUGGAUGGCUUGAAUUCGGGAGAGGGAUGCAGAAUUCCAGGUGUAGCGGUGAAAUGCGUAGAUAUCUGGAGGAAUACCGGUGGCGAAGGCGGCAUCCUGGACCGAGAUUGACACUGAUGAGCGAAAGCUAGGGGAGCAAACGGG